rnacentral:misc_RNA from 1 species
CAUAUAUAAUUUUUUUACAAACUAAAUUUUAGAAGGAUUAAGUAAUUUUGUUAACUACUCUUGUUAUCAUCAUUUAUUUUUUAUUUUUUUGUUUCUUUAAUUCAAUAAAAGAAUAAUAAGUUGACUAUAACUAACAAGUUACACAAUGAAAGAGAUAACAUCUCUCUUCCUCGAUAUAAAAGUAAAUAAUCAUACAACUCAAUCAACUCAAUUAAUCCUUUAUUCAAAAAAUUUAGAGUCGACUAUAUGAAUUCGUUUUCUCCACUCUAAAUAAUUUUGGAUUAAAUCAUCAGAAAUGUAUAAUGUUUCUAGGUCAC